UUGCUCAUUGGCUUGCUCUUGGUGCAAGGAAGACCUCAACAUGUUUUGGGCGCGCAUUGCUCUUGUUUCUCUAGUUGCUUGGCUUGUGUAUGCCCGACGCGGGGAGAUCUUGGAGGGCCCUAAUGUGAUGAAGGACAACAAAUUCAACAAAGCUGUUUGCCUGCAGGAGCCAUCCUAUGGCGAAUGCAAGGGACGUCGCUCCUUGUGGUACUACAAUUCAUUUACAAAUAAAUGCGAGAUGUUCAUCUAUUCGAACUGUGGUGGCAACGGAAAUCGCUUCCACACCCAUAAAAACUGCGAGAGACUUUGCCGCAUACCCAAGUGGCAUUCUAGUAUGUUUGUAACUGAAUGAUUGAAAAAAGAUAAACAUAUUCCAUAAAUGUUGAUAAUAAUAAUGAUCUGUUGCUCCAUUUCUUUUUCCAUUCUUCCACUUCUUUUGAUUUACUUUACUUUUUCAAGAAAUAUAAUACAUUUAACAACAUAAA